ensembl:misc_RNA Metazoa_SRP Metazoan signal recognition particle RNA
GCUGGGCAUGGUGGCGCAUGCCUGUAAUCCCAGCUACUUGGGAGGCUGAGGCAGGAGAAUCCCUUGAACCUGGGAGGUUGCAGUGAGCCGAGAUUGUGCCACUGCACUCCAGCCUAGAUGACAAAGUGAGACUCUGUUUUUU